UGGGGAAUAUUGCACAAUGGAGGCAACUCUGAUGCAGCGACGCCGCGUGAUUUAGAAGGCCUUCGGGUUGUAAAAAUCUUUUCUAUGGGAAGAAAAUGACAGUACCAUAGGAAUAAGGACCGGCUAAUUACGUGCCAGCAGCCGCGGUAAUACGUAAGGUCCGAGCGUUGUCCGGAAUCAUUGGGCGUAAAGGGUACGUAGGCGGGUAAGCAAGUUAGAAGUGAAAUCCUAUAGCUCAACUAUAGUAAGCUUUUAAAACUGCUCAUCUUGAGGUAUGGAAGGGAAAGUGGAAUUCCUAGUGUAGCGGUGAAAUGCGCAGAUAUUAGGAGGAAUACCGGUGGCGAAGGCGACUUUCUGGCCAUAACCUGACGCUGAGGUACGAAAGCGUGGGUAGCAAACAGG
rnacentral:rRNA from 1 species